GAUUCGUGGACGAGGAAAGAAAAUGGAGAUUUCUUGAGCAGCUUCUAUGGCUACAUCCCAUGUCAAGCAGCCUGAUCUAUGCUCUUGGGUUCUGGCCUCAUGACAACCUUCUAUUUUGGAAUCUGACGCUUGGAAAACGUAAGCAGCUCAGUCAGGUUCAAGGCCAGAUCAUCAGACAGAAGAAUUCAGUAGUAAGCACACACAUCCUAGCCCUUCCCUCCCUCCUCAACUGUGAGGCCCCUCGAGCACAGAAACAUGCCUGCUGUUUCUCCCAGUUCGUGGAGGAGUUCCUGACACGUGCCAGGCACUGAGUAACCUUGCCGUGCGAAGCAGAAAGACAAAAUGCUGGUGACUUCAGGAGAGCAGCUUGAAUGGAGCUAUAGAAUUCCAGGAGCCGAAACCAGGUGUUGAUUCUCCACGACAGGUCUGUAGCUGCUGCUAGAGAAGUUUAUGACUGUGGGCCUUUGUUCCAAACCCAAGAGCCACUAUACAUCUCAGUUCAAUUACUUUGAUUUGUCUCUGGGGAAAAAGCAGAGUCAACAUGGAGGCUCAUGUAUUCUGUGCAAACGUUGAAUCUUCCACAUGCUAUUUCAUAGCGCGGAUGCUCGUUUUCUAAGCUCAGGUUUCGACUUUGCAAUAUGAAAUAUUUGGGAGAUAUUUUGUUCCAUUUGAUCCUACAGAUCUGUGCUUGUAUCUGUAAGGAUUCCAGAGGUGACAAGAAUAUUCUCAAGCUUUCUAUAGGGUCUACCGUAAAAUAAAAUGCAAUGUCUUUAUCUCA